AACGAACGCUGGCGGCAGGCUUAACACAUGCAAGUCGAACGCCCCGCAAGGGGAGUGGCAGACGGGUGAGUAACGCGUGGGAAUCUACCUAGUUCUACGGAACAACAGUUGGAAACGACUGCUAAUACCGUAUACGCCCUAUGGGGGAAAGAUUUAUCGGAAUUAGAUGAGCCCGCGUAAGAUUAGCUAGUUGGUGGGGUAAUGGCCUACCAAGGCGACGAUCUUUAGCUGGUCUGAGAGGAUGAUCAGCCACACUGGGACUGAGACACGGCCCAGACUCCUACGGGAGGCAGCAGUGGGGAAUACUGGACAAUGGGCGCAAGCCUGAUCCAGCCAUGCCGCGUGAGUGAUGAAGGCCUUAGGGUUGUAAAGCUCUUUCACCGAUGAAGAUAAUGACGGUAGUCGGAGAAGAAGCCCCGGCUAACUUCGUGCCAGCAGCCGCCGUAACAC
rnacentral:rRNA from 1 species